rnacentral:rRNA from 1 species
GAUGAACGCUGGCGGCGUGCCUAACACAUGCAAGUCGAACGAAGUGGCGAACGGGUGAGUAAUACGUGAUUAACCUGCCCUGCUUUUUGGGAUAAGCCUUGUAAACGGGGUCUCUUACCGCACAUAGGGGGAUGGGCUCGCGGCCUAUUAGCUUGUUGGUGGGGUGAUGGCCUACCAAGGCGGUGACGGGUAGCCGGCCUGGGUGGGUCACCGUGGACAUUGGAACUGAGAUAGAGCCCUAACUCCUGCAGGAGGCGGCAGUGUUGGAUAAUGGGCAAAAGGCGAAAGCCUGAUGCCGCGAUGCAUCGUGGGGGAUGAAGGCUUGCAGAGUGUAAACCUUUUUCGCGAACGAGCGGGUAGGUGAAGAAGAAGCGCCGGCUAACUACGUGCCAGCCGCCGCGGUAAUUC